rnacentral:rRNA from 1 species
CCUACGGGCGGCAGCAGUGAGGAAUAUUGGUCAAUGGGCGCGAGCCUGAACCAGCCAAGUAGCGUGAAGGAUGACUGCCCUACGGGUUGUAAACUUCUUUUAUAAAGGAAUAAAGUGAGGCACGUGUGCCUUUUUGUAUGUACUUUAUGAAUAAGGAUCGGCUCACUCCGUGCCAGCAGCCGCGGUAAUACGGAGGAUCCGAGCGUUAUCCGGAUUUAUUGUGUUUAAAGGGAGCGUAGAUGGGUUGUUAAGUCAGUUGUGAAAGUUUGCGGCUCAACCGUAAAAUUGCAAUUGAUACUGGCAGGCUUGAGUACAGUUGAGGGAGGCGGAAUUCGUGGUGUAGCGGUGAAAUGCUUAGAGAUCACGAAGAACUCCGAUUGCGAAGGCAGCUUACUAAACUGACACUGACACUGAUGCGCGAAAGUGUGGGUAUCAAACAGGAUUAGAUACCCGAGUAGUC